rnacentral:misc_RNA from 1 species
AAAGUCGUAACAAGGUUUCCGUAGGUGAACCUGCGGAAGGAUCAUUAUGAAUUUGAACUUGCGUGUUGCAGCUGUUUCAUUCAUUUGAACGCUGUCCGCAAUUCUUUUUCUGUGAACUGUACUUGAGACUUUUUCCAAUUCAUUUUGGAAAAGGGCUCGGGUUACUUUUUGUUUUCUUGUAUUAUUCCAAUUUUUAUUUUCGAGUAAUUCUUGCAAAAGAAUGAAAAAAAAUAUAAAAAAAAACCAAGACAACUUUCAGCAAUGGAUCUCUUGGCUCUU